UUUAGAUGGCGACCGGCGCACGGGUGAGUAACACGUAUCCAACCUGCCGAUGACUCGGGGAUAGCCUUUCGAAAGAGAGAUUAAUACCCGAUGGCAUAGUUCUUCCGCAUGGUAGAACUAUUAAAGAAUUUCGGUCAUCGAUGGGGAUGCGUUCCAUUAGGUUGUUGGCGGGGUAACGGCCCACCAAGCCUUCGAUGGAUAGGGGUUCUGAGAGGAAGGUCCCCCACAUUGGAACUGAGACACGGUCCAAACUCCUACGGGAGGCAGCAUG
rnacentral:rRNA from 1 species